GUACUCGCUUUAACGGUACACAUACUAAAAUAAGGAGAUUAGCAUGGACGCUGAGUAAGAAUGAUACGUAAAAUUGUCAAGCGUCCCAUAUUUUU
rnacentral:snRNA from 11 species